UUUGGUUAAGUUAGAAAGGGCGCACGGUGGAUGCCUUGACACUAGGAGUCGAUGAAGGACGGGACUAACGCCGAUAUGCUUCGGGGAGCUGUAAGUAAGCUUUGAUCCGAAGAUUUCCGAAUGGGGAAACCCACCAUACGUAAUGGUAUGGUAUCCUUAUCUGAAUACAUAGGGUAAGGAAGACAGACCCAGGGAACUGAAACAUCUAAGUACCUGGAGGAAGAGAAAGCAAAUGCGAUUUCCUGAGUAGCGGCGAGCGAAACGGAACAUAGCCCAAACCAAGAGGCUUGCCUCUUGGGGUUGUAGGACAUUCUAUACGGAGUUACAAAGGAACGAGGUAGACGAAGCGACCUGGAAAGGUCCGUCGUAGAGGGUAACAACCCCGUAGUCGAAACUUCGUUCUCUCUUGAAUGUAUCCUGAGUACGGCGGAACACGUGAAAUUCCGUCGGAAUCUGGGAGGACCAUCUCCCAAGGCUAAAUACUCCCUAGUGAUCGAUAGUGAACCAGUACCGUGAGGGAAAGGUGAAAAGCACCCCGGAAGGGGAGUGAAAGAGAUCCUGAAACCGUGUGCCUACAAAUAGUCAGAGCCCGUUAACGGGUGAUGGCGUGCCUUUUGUAGAAUGAACCGGCGAGUUACGAUCCCGUGCGAGGUUAAGCUGAAGAGGCGGAGCCGCAGCGAAAGCGAGUCUGAAUAGGGCGUUUAGUACGUGGUCGUAGACCCGAAACCAGGUGAUCUACCCAUGUCCAGGGUGAAGUUCAGGUAACACUGAAUGGAGGCCCGAACCCACGCACGUUGAAAAGUGCGGGGAUGAGGUGUGGGUAGCGGAGAAAUUCCAAUCGAACCUGGAGAUAGCUGGUUCUCCCCGAAAUAGCUUUAGGGCUAGCCUUAAGUGUAAGAGUCUUGGAGGUAGAGCACUGAUUGGACUAGGGGUCCUCAUCGGAUUACCGAAUUCAGUCAAACUCCGAAUGCCAAUGACUUAUCCUUAGGAGUCAGACUGCGAGUGAUAAGAUCCGUAGUCAAAAGGGAAACAGCCCAGACCGCCAGCUAAGGUCCCAAAGUGUGUAUUAAGUGGAAAAGGAUGUGGAGUUGCUUAGACAACUAGGAUGUUGGCUUAGAAGCAGCCACCAUUUAAAGAGUGCGUAAUAGCUCACUAGUCGAGUGACUCUGCGCCGAAAAUGUACCGGGGCUAAAUACACCACCGAAGCUGCGGAUUGAUACCAAUGGUAUCAGUGGUAGGGGAGCGUUCUAAGGACAGUGAAGUCAGACCGUAAGGACUGGUGGAGUGCUUAGAAGUGAGAAUGCCGGUAUGAGUAGCGAAAGACGGGUGAGAAUCCCGUCCACCGAAUGCCUAAGGUUUCCUGAGGAAGGCUCGUCCGCUCAGGGUUAGUCAGGACCUAAGCCGAGGCCGACAGGCGUAGGCGAUGGACAACAGGUUGAUAUUCCUGUACCACCUCUUUAUCGUUUGAGCAAUGGAGGGACGCAGAAGGAUAGAAGAAGCGUGCGAUUGGUUGUGCACGUCCAAGCAGUUAGGCUGAUAAGUAGGCAAAUCCGCUUAUCAUAAAGGCUGAGCUGUGAUGGGGAAGCUCCUUAUGGAGCGAAGUCUUUGAUUCCCCGCUGCCAAGAAAAGCUUCUAGCGAGAUAAAAGGUGCCUGUACCGCAAACCGACACAGGUAGGCGAGGAGAGAAUCCUAAGGUGUGCGAGAGAACUCUGGUUAAGGAACUCGGCAAAAUGACCCCGUAACUUCGGGAGAAGGGGUGCUUUCUUAACGGAAAGCCGCAGUGAAUAGGCCCAAGCGACUGUUUAGCAAAAACACAGCUCUCUGCGAAGCCGUAAGGCGAAGUAUAGGGGGUGACACCUGCCCGGUGCUGGAAGGUUAAGGAGAGGGGUUAGCGUAAGCGAAGCUCUAAACUGAAGCCCCAGUAAACGGCGGCCGUAACUAUAACGGUCCUAAGGUAGCGAAAUUCCUUGUCGGGUAAGUUCCGACCCGCACGAAAGGUGUAACGAUUUGGGCACUGUCUCAACCAGAGACUCGGUGAAAUUAUAGUACCUGUGAAGAUGCAGGUUACCCGCGACAGGACGGAAAGACCCCGUGGAGCUUUACUGUAGCCUGAUAUUGAAUUUUGGUACAGUUUGUACAGGAUAGGCGGGAGCCAUUGAAACCGGAGCGCUAGCUUCGGUGGAGGCGCUGGUGGGAUACCGCCCUGACUGUAUUGAAAUUCUAACCUACGGGUCUUAUCGACCCGGGAGACAGUGUCAGGUGGGCAGUUUGACUGGGGCGGUCGCCUCCUAAAGUGUAACGGAGGCGCCCAAAGGUUCCCUCAGAAUGGUUGGAAAUCAUUCGUAGAGUGCAAAGGCAUAAGGGAGCUUGACUGCGAGACCUACAAGUCGAGCAGGGACGAAAGUCGGGCUUAGUGAUCCGGUGGUUCCGCAUGGAAGGGCCAUCGCUCAACGGAUAAAAGCUACCCCGGGGAUAACAGGCUUAUCUCCCCCAAGAGUCCACAUCGACGGGGAGGUUUGGCACCUCGAUGUCGGCUCAUCGCAUCCUGGGGCUGUAGUCGGUCCCAAGGGUUGGGCUGUUCGCCCAUUAAAGCGGUACGCGAGCUGGGUUCAGAACGUCGUGAGACAGUUCGGUCCCUAUCCGUCGUGGGCGUAGGAAAUUUGAGAGGAGCUGUCCUUAGUACGAGAGGACCGGGAUGGACGCACCGCUGGUGUACCAGUUGUUCUGCCAAGGGCAUAGCUGGGUAGCUAUGUGCGGAAGGGAUAAGUGCUGAAAGCAUCUAAGCAUGAAGCCCCCCUCAAGAUGAGAUUUCCCAUAGCGUAAGCUAGUAAGAUCCCUGAAAGAUGAUCAGGUUGAUAGGUUCGAGGUGGAAGCAUGGUGACAUGUGGAGCUGACGAAUACUAAUAGAUCGAGGACUUAACCAUAUAA
rnacentral:rRNA from 1 species